rnacentral:rRNA from 1 species
UGAACGCUGGCGGCGUGCCUCAUACAUGCAAGUCGCGCGAACGGACGCGAAGCUUGCUUCUCUGAUGUUAGCGGCGGACGGGUGAGUAACACGUGGAUAACCUACCUAUAAGACUGGGAUAACUUCGGGAAACCGGAGCUAAUACCGGAUAAUAUUUUGAACCGCAUGGUUCAAAAGUGAAAGACGGUCUUGCUGUCACUUAUAGAUGGAUCCGCGCUGCAUUAGCUAGUUGGUAAGGUAACGGCUUACCAAGGCAACGAUGCAUAGCCGACCUGAGAGGGUGAUCGGCCACACUGGAACUGAGACACGGUCCAGACUCCUACGGGAGGCAGCAGUAGGGAAUCUUCCGCAAUGGGCGAAAGCCUGACGGAGCAACGCCGCGUGAGUGAUGAAGGUCUUCGGAUCGUAAAACUCUGUUAUUAGGGAAGAACAUAUGUGUAAGUAACUGUGCACAUCUUGACGGUACCUAAUCAGAAAGCCACGGCUAACUACGUG